AUGAAAGAGCCAGAGUCAGUUCAUUCAGUUUUGGAACAAUGGAUCCAGAGAGACCUGAUUGAAAGGGUUGAGGACACCAGAGAGGAGGAGGAGGAAGAAGAGGAUGAGCAAGAGCACUCAAUAAUUCAGUACAACAAUAUGGAGCGUAAAGUUUUGGGAUUUACAGUACUGUUACUGGCUUCUCAAUAUUGUUGGUGUCAGACACUGACUGAGUCUGAAGCUGUAGUCAUCAAACCUGGAGAAUCCCAUAAACUGACAUGUACUGCCUCUGGUUUUGACUUUGAUGACUACUGGAUGGCUUGGAUCAGACAGAAGUCUGGAAAAGAGCUGGAAUGGCUGGCCUCGAUAUAUGAUAGCGAGAAUAUUUAUUACUCCCAGUCUGUCCAAGGACGGUUCACCAUCUCCCGAGACAACAGUAGGAAGCAGGUGUAUCUGCAGAUGAACAGCCUGAAGAAUGAAGACACUGCUGUAUAUUAUUGUGCCCGAGAGACACAGUGA